rnacentral:rRNA from 1 species
GAGUUUGAUCGUGGCUCAGAUUGAACGCUGGCGGCAUGCCUUACACAUGCAAGUCGAACGGCAGCACGGGAGCUUGCUCCUGGUGGCGAGUGGCGAACGGGUGAGUAAUGCACCGGAACGUAUCCUGGAGUGGGGGAUAACGUAGCGAAAGUUACGCUAAUACCGCAUAUUCUGUGAGCAGGAAAGCGGGGGACCUUCGGGCCUCGCGCUCUUGGAGCGGCCGAUGUCGGAUUAGCUAGUUGGUGAGGUAAAGGCUCACCAAGGCGACGAUCCGUAGCAGGUCUGAGAGGAUGAUCUGCCACACUGGAACUGAGACACGGUCCAGACUCCUACGGGAGGCAGCAGUGGGGAAUUUUGGACAAUGGGGGCAACCCUGAUCCAGCCAUGCCGCGUGAGUG